GGGGCUGCUUGGUUUCGACAGGAAUAUAAGGGUUUGAGUGGCAAGUCGAAGGUACGCGUCAAGUACACAAACAAAUAACUGGAAACAGAACACAAUUAGCUUUCGCUUAAUAAAAAGGUGAAAGGCUUCUAUUAUUCUUAGCCCAUGAAGAAUUUUAGAAGCUCGAAUUAAUGGGCUAUAUUGUUACUUUGUCUAGGAGUAAUAAUGAAAAUUAUAGACUUACUAAAAGAGCAUUUGUUAGUUAUGGCUCUUAUUAGGAAAAUUAAUAGCUAACUAAACUUGUAGAAGCUUAAACACACUGUAUUUUUGGACAGGGGUUCAAUUCCCCUCAGCUCCACCA
rnacentral:tmRNA from 1 species